UGGCUCAGGACGAACGCUGGCGGCGUGCUUAACACAUGCAAGUCGAACGGAGAACUUUCUUCGGAAUGUUCUUAGUGGCGAACGGGUGAGUAACGCGUAGGCAACCUGCCCUCUGGUUGGGGACAACAUUCCGAAAGGGAUGCUAAUACCGAAUGAGAUCCUCUUUCCGCAUGGAGAGAGGAUGAAAGAUGGCCUCUACUUGUAAGCUAUCGCCAGAAGAUGGGCCUGCGUCUGAUUAGCUAGUAGGUGAGGUAACGGCUCACCUAGGCGAUGAUCAGUAGCCGGUCUGAGAGGAUGAACGGCCACAUUGGGACUGAGACACGGCCCAAACUCCUACGGGAGGCAGCAGUGGGGAAUCUUCCGCAAUGGACGAAAGUCUGACGGAGCAACGCCGCGUGAGUGAUGAAGGCCUUCGGGUUGUAAAACUCUGUUGUCAGGGACGAAAGCACCGAUCUAUAAUACAUUUUGGUGUUGACGGUACCUGACGAGGAAGCCACGGCUAACUACGUGCCAGCAGCCGCGGUAAUACGUAGGUGGCAAGCGUUGUCCGGAAUUAUUGGGCGUAAAGAGCAUGUAGGCGGGCUUUUAAGUCCGACGUGAAAAUGCGGGGCUUAACCCCGUAUGGCGUUGGAUACUGGAAGUCUUGAGUGCAGGAGAGGAAAGGGGAAUUCCCAGUGUAGCGGUGAAAUGCGUAGAUAUUGGGAGGAACACCAGUGGCGAAGGCGCCUUUCUGGACUGUGUCUGACGCUGAGAUGCGAAAGCCAGGGUAGCAAACGGGAUUAGAUACCCCGGUAGUCCUGGCCGUAAACGAUGGGUACUAGGUGUAGGAGGUAUCGACCCCUUCUGUGCCGGAGUUAACGCAAUAAGUACCCCGCCUGGGGACUACGA
rnacentral:rRNA from 1 species